rnacentral:rRNA from 1 species
UGGGGAAUAUUGGACAAUGGGCGCAAGCCUGAUCCAGCAAUGCCGCGUGGGUGAAGAAGGUCUUCGGAUCGUAAAGCCCUUUCGACGGGGACGAUGAUGACGGUACCCGUAGAAGAAGCCCCGGCUAACUUCGUGCCAGCAGCCGCGGUAAUACGAAGGGGGCUAGCGUUGCUCGGAAUUACUGGGCGUAAAGGGCGCGUAGGCGGUCAUUUUAGUCAGGCGUGAAAUUCCCGGGCUUAACCUGGGGACUGCGCUUGAUACUGGGUGACUAGAGGGUGGAAGAGGGUCGUGGAAUUCCCAGUGUAGAGGUGAAAUUCGUAGAUAUUGGGAAGAACACCGGUGGCGAAGGCGGCGACCUGGUCCAUUACUGACGCUGAGGCGCGACAGCGUGGGGAGCAAACAG